GAUUAGUGGCGAACGGGUGAGUAACACGUGAGCAACCUGCCCCUGACUCUGGGAUAAGCGCUGGAAACGGCGUCUAAUACUGGAUAUGUCCCGUCACCGCAUGGUGUGCGGGUGGAAAGAUUUUUCGGUUGGGGAUGGGCUCGCGGCCUAUCAGCUUGUUGGUGAGGUAAUGGCUCACCAAGGCGUCGACGGGUAGCCGGCCUGAGAGGGUGACCGGCCACACUGGGACUGAGACACGGCCCAGACUCCUACGGGAGGCAGCAGUGGGGAAUAUUGCACAAUGGGCGGAAGCCUGAUGCAGCAACGCCGCGUGAGGGAUGACGGCCUUCGGGUUGUAAACCUCUUUUAGCAGGGAAGAAGCGAGAGUGACGGUACCUGCAGAAAAAGCACCGGCUAACUACGUGCCAGCAGCCGCGGUAAUACGUAGGGUGCAAGCGUUAUCCGGAAUUAUUGGGCGUAAAGAGCUCGUAGGCGGUCUGUCGCGUCUGCUGUGAAAUCCCGAGGCUCAACCUCGGGCUUGCAGUGGGUACGGGCAGACUAGAGUGCGGUAGGGGAGAUUGGAAUUCCUGGUGUAGCGGUGGAAUGCGCAGAUAUCAGGAGGAACACCGAUGGCGAAGGCAGAUCUCUGGGCCGUAACUGACGCUGAGGAGCGAAAGGGUGGGGAGCAAACAGGCUUAGAUACCCUGGUAGUCCACCCCGUAAACGUUGGGAACUAGUUGUGGGGUCCUUUCCACGGAUUCCGUGACGCAGCUAACGCAUUAAGUUCCCCGCCUGGGGAGUACGGCCGCAAGGCUAAAACUCAAAGGAAUUGACGGGGACCCGCACAAGCGGCGGAGCAUGC
rnacentral:rRNA from 1 species